rnacentral:rRNA from 1 species
UACGUAGGGGGCGAGCGUUGUCCGGAAUCAUUGGGCGUAAAGCGCGUGUAGGCGGCUCGAUAAGUCUGCUGUGAAAGUCCAGGGCUCAACCCUGGAAUGCCGGUGGAAACUGUCGAGCUUGAGUCCGGAAGAGGCAAGUGGAAUUCCUGGUGUAGCGGUGAAAUGCGCAGAUAUCAGGAGGAACACCAAUGGCGAAGGCAGCUUGCUGGGACGGUACUGACGCUGAGACGCGAAAGCGUGGGGAGCAAACAGG